UCGGGUUUCUUGCUUCUCCUAAAAAGCAAGUGGUGCGGGUGAUUUGCUGCCGCCUGGUUUCUUAUUUCCAGUCAAAGAAUAAGUGGCGAGCCUAGGG
rfam:Synechococcus phage S-CAM1 genomic sequence.